GACGAACGCUGGCGGCGUGCCUAAUACAUGCAAGUAGAACGCUGAAGGAGGAGCUUGCUUCUCUGGAUGAGUUGCGAACGGGUGAGUAACGCGUAGGUAACCUGCCUGGUAGCGGGGGAUAACUAUUGGAAACGAUAGCUAAUACCGCAUAACAGUAGAUAUCGCAUGAUAUCUACUUGAAAGGUGCAAUUGCAUCACUACCAGAUGGACCUGCGUUGUAUUAGCUAGUUGGUGAGGUAACGGCGCACCAAGGCGACGAUGCAUAGCCGACCUGAGAGGGUGAGCGGCCGCACUGGGACGGAGACACGGCACAGACGCCUACGGAAGGCAGCAGUAGGGAAUCGUCGGCAAUGGGCGGAAGUCUGACCGAGCAACGCCGCGUGAGUGAAGAAGGUUUUCGGAUCGUAAAGCUCUGUUGUAAGAGAAGAACGAGUGUGAGAGUGGAAAGUUCACACUGUGACGGUAUCUUACCAGAAAGGGACGGCUAACUACGUG
rnacentral:rRNA from 1 species